CCAGAGAACUUUCCAGAGAUGGAUUGGUGCCUUCGGGAACUCUGAGACAGGUGCUGCAUGGCUGUCGUCAGCUCGUGUUGUGAAAUGUUGGGUUAAGUCCCGCAACGAGCGCAACCCUUAUCCUUUGUUGCCAGCGGUUAGGCCGGGAACUCAAAGGAGACUGCCAGUGAUAAACUGGAGGAAGGUGGGGAUGACGUCAAGUCAUCAUGGCCCUUACGAGUAGGGCUACACACGUGCUACAAUGGCGCAUACAAAGAGAAGCGACCUCGCGAGAGCAAGCGGACCUCAUAAAGUGCGUCGUAGUCCGGAUUGGAGUCUGCAACUCGACUCCAUGAAGUCGGAAUCGCUAGUAAUCGUGGAUCAGAAUGCCACGGUGAAUACGUUCCCGGGCCUUGUACAUACCGCCCGUCACACCAUGGGAGUGGGUUGCAAAAGAAGUAGGUAGCUUAACCUUCGGGAGGGCGCUUACCACUUUGUGAUUCAUGACUGGGGUGAAGUCGUAACAAGGUAAGCGUAGUGCU
rnacentral:rRNA from 1 species